rnacentral:rRNA from 1 species
UACAGAGGUCCCAAGCGUUGUUCGGAUUCAUUGGGCGUAAAGGGUGCGUAGGUGGCGCCGUAAGUCGGGUGUAAAAUUUCGGAGCUUAACUCCGAAACUGCAUUCGAUACUGCGGUGCUUGAGGACUGGAGAGGAGACUGGAAUUCAUGGUGUAGCAGUGAAAUGCGUAGAGAUCAUGAGGAAGACCAGUGGCGAAGGCGGGUCUCUGGACAGUUCCUGACGCUGAGGCACGAAGGUCAGGGGAGCAAACGGG